UAAAUUUAAUUAUUAAAUAGAUAUAAAAGAUAUUAAACCAAUAACUGUCAUGUGCAAAUUUAUUGAUGAUAGCCAAGUAUGCAGUCUUCAUGUGCCUUAAAUUUUAUUAUCUGCCCUUGCUUCUGUAUCAUAUGCCAACAAGGUCUACAUACUUUAUCGCCACUUGUUUGUAAGAACAGAGGUAUCGACAGACAAAGCUAUACCUGCUUUCAUUAUGUCUGUCAAUGAUGAACCAAUAAUUAUAAUCAAUUACAAACAAAAGUGAACCAACGCCUGGUGAGUCUGUAG
rnacentral:lncRNA from 1 species